rnacentral:lncRNA from 1 species
AAACGCAAAAUUUUAGCCAAACCAAGUAAAAUACUUCACCCCCAUAAACACACAGAAUUUCACACUCAUGCCUUUACCAUGCGGGUGAAGAUGGUGUGUGGUCGUCUCUGUGUUGUUAAAAUGGGUUUGAAUAUCCUUUAGCUAUGGAUAUGCGUUUGAUGGAUCUGAGUUUGCUGAAUGGGUUUGAUGGAUCUAAGUUUGUUGGAUCUGGGUGGGUUCGAUAGAUCUGGGUUUGUUAUCGGUAAGAUCUGUUUAUCUAAUAACAACUCUAUCUUCUACCUUUUUAUCUCGUUUACCGAUUUUUUAGAAAAUUCCCUCCCUCCCUGUUUGUCUCAAUUUAUAGGGAAACGACUAAUGUUUUCAUUCAUCGUACAAAUACAUGUUCUGGAUUUUGUAUUGUUACUCCAAGA